rnacentral:lncRNA from 1 species
CGAUCAAGGUGUGAAUUCUAGUUCUGCAGAUUUUGCCGAGUUCGGGGAGUGAUGGAGUUUGCCCAGCAGAGUGGCCAGAGGGAUGCCCGCGGAGGAGGGUGAGGGAAGAUGCUUCAGAAAAUAGGUUCUCUGCAUCAAUAACCUGGGUGUAAAGAGCAUCGUUGGGUGCCCAAAGAAAAUCUGGCUGGUUGAGCAGAUGUUGGUCAGCGGCACAGCGGAGCUCGAGUUCUGCGGAGGAUUUUUGGCGCUGCCGCCGACACAGCUCGGCGGAUGAGUUGCUCAGCGAACUUUCCGGCGGAGCCCUGGGACACCAGCGGAGUUUACUGAUGCUCCGUCAAGGCUGUGAGCAUCUAGAGCUAGCGGUGGUGUUCGCCGGCGGAAGAAGUUGGGCGGUGGAAGAUGCUUGGCUGGCCGCUGAGUGCUAGUGGGUCUUUGAGAGCUGUUGCUGGAGGUUCCGCUAGUGGUGUUUAGCGGAGAUGGAGUGCAGCGGACCUGGAGCUCGGCGGAGGAUCCGGGUUCUGUGGUGCUGGAGUGCAGCGGACCUGGAGCUCGACGGGGGAUCCGAGUUCGGCGGUGCUGGAGUGCAGCGGACCUGGAGCUCGGCGGAGUUUUGGUGUCCGGAGGACGCUUUAGGUAGCUGAGGUGGCCAGCGGAGGAAGUUUGGAGGAGCGGAGCUUCGCUGGCGGUGGUUGGCCAGCCAUGUUGUUUGUUAGCGGGGGGUGGUGGAGACCUGGACCGGACUGCAACCUGUUUGAUGGUAGUUCGGCGGUAUACAGUCGGCGGUGCACAGUAUGGUGGUGCUCGCUUGGCAGAGGCUAAGCAACGAGCCGAGAUGUCUACUGAUGGCCUACUGGAGGUAGCAGUAGAGCUUGGUGGCGGUGCCUAGCGGUGUACAGUCCGCUUGACGGAAGCCUGCUGGAGUUAGAGCGGAGUUUUGCCGGCGGAGGUGAAGCGCAGCGGUGAACAGUCCAGCGGAGGUGGAAGGCCGGCGGUGGAAGCUCGUCCAACUGAGAAGUAAACUCGCCCAGCAGAGAAGUCCGGCGGAGAAAACCCGUCAGCGGAGGAAGAAGUCCGGCGGAACUCAGAGCUCAGCGGAGGCUCGUAAUGGCUAGCGGUUUGCAGUAGCGGGGCCGCUAGCCGGAGGCUUUGAUCGGCGGAGCAGCUGGCGGAUGAUCGUAGCCGGCGGUGGUGCCAAGCGGACAAAGCUUUGCUGUUGGUGCUGAUGAUCGAUUGAAAGAAGAUAGCAUGGUGCCCAAAGUAAAUCUCUGGGUGUCCAGAGAAGACUUGGCCCAAAUUUUUUUUUUUUUGCAGUCAUCGUUGACUUUUUUGAGUUGGGCGUUGACCAAAAGUUGAUCAAGCCUUGAUGGGCGUUGACUUUGCCUACGGGCGUUGACCGACCCCGCCGGGCGUUGACCAGCCAUGUUGGGCGUUGACCAGCCCCAACCUGAUGUUGAAUGAGCGUCGGCUCGACAUUUUCGGGUCAAAGUUCGUGGUAGGUGACGAAGCCUUUGUGUUGGCUUCCCACAGACGGCGCCAAUGUUAAUGUUUGGAUCCGUGGGGAUCUAAUUAACGAUAAGUAAGAGAGAGAGAGAGAAUGACACGAGUUGUAUAGUGGUUCGUCUCCCGCCUUAGCGGGAAACUACGUCCACUUGAAAGCUUAUACUAGUGUGUCGAGCCUUGCGGCCC